CCACUUUUAGUGCUUACCACAGUCUGUGUUCUUACACUGACUAUGUUAGAAAGAGGAAGCGCAAAGUAAAACCUACCCCCAUAUAUAAUCCUCAGUUUAGGCCUGGUGCUAUUUAUAUUUAUUGAAAUGGGGAGACGAUG
rnacentral:snoRNA from 1 species